UAAAAGUUUUAUUCUGGCUGAGGUAUUAAUUUAGUAAAUGAAUUUCAUGUAGGUGUUGAAUCUAAAAGAGUUGAAAUAAUGCAGAAGUUAAUAUUAUACAAUUAAGUUGAUUUAGAUAUAGUAAUUUAUAAAAAUAUUGGUUAAGAACGUGCCAGCUGCCGCGGUUAAACGUUUGAUGUAAAUUAAUAGGGUUGAUUUAGAAAGUAAGGAGUAGGUUUUAAUUAUUUGUAUAAAUUAAUAUGGGGAUGAAAUGUUAUAUUAGUUAAAUGAGAUAUAAUUAUUUUGAAGCUUUGAAAUUUUGUGAUAAACUAGGAUUAGAUACCCUAUUAUAAUAAAUGUAAAUGAGUUAAUUAAAGUAGUAAGAGGUAAGAUCUUGAAACUUAAAGAAUUUGGCGGUGUUUUAUUCUAUUCAGAGGAAUCUGUUUUGUAAUUGAUAAUACACGAUUUAGGCUACUUAAUUUUAAUUUGUAUAUCGCCGUCAUCAGAUUAUCUUAUUUGAAAGGUUAAAAGCUCAGGAUGUUUUUUAGAAAAAUAUGUCAGGUCAAGGUGCAGUUUAUAAUUAAGAAAUAAUGGAUUACAAUAAAUCAAUAUUUAUUUACGGAUUAAUUAAAUGGAUUGAUUAGGAAGGUGGAUUUGAAAGUAAAUUAAUUGAAAAUAAUUAAUUGAAGGAGCUCUAAAAUAUGUACAUAUCGCCCGUCGCUCUCAAUUCAGUUGAGAUAAGUCGUAACAAAGUAGAUGUACUGGAAAGUGUAUCUAGAAGGAAAU
rnacentral:ncRNA from 1 species